rnacentral:rRNA from 1 species
UACGGAGGAUGCAAGCGUUAUCCGGAAUGAUUGGGCGUAAAGAGUCCGUAGGUGGCCAUUCAAGUCUGUUGUCAAAGAGCACAGCUUAACUGUGGAAAGGCAGUGGAAACUGAAAAGCUAGAGAAUGGUAGGGGUAGAGGGAAUUCCCGGUGUAGCGGUGAAAUGCGUAGAGAUCGGGAAGAACACCAGUGGCGAAAGCGCUCUGCUGGACCAUGUCUGACACUGAGGGACGAAAGCUAGGGGAGCGAAUGGG